rnacentral:rRNA from 1 species
UACGUAGGGACCAAGCGUUGUUCGGAUUUACUGGGCGUAAAGGGCGCGUAGGCGGCGUGACAAGUCACUUGUGAAAUCUCUGAGCUUAACCCAGAACGGCCAAGUGAAACUGUUGUGCUAGAGUGCAGAAGGGGCAAUCGGAAUUCUUGGUGUAGCGGUGAAAUGCGUAGAUAUCAAGAGGAACACCUGAGGUGAAGACGGGUUGCUGGGCUGACACUGACGCUGAGGCGCGAAAGCCAGGGGAGCAAACGGG